AGUGAACGCUGGCGGUAGGCCUAACACAUGCAAGUCGAACGGCAGCACAGUAAGAGCUUGCUCUUACGGGUGGCGAGUGGCGGACGGGUGAGGAAUACAUCGGAAUCUACUUUUUCGUGGGGGAUAACGUAGGGAAACUUACGCUAAUACCGCAUACGACCUACGGGUGAAAGCAGGGGAACUUCGGACCUUGCGCGAUUGAAUGAGCCGCUGUCGGAUUAGCUAGUUGGCGGGGUAAAGGCCCACCAAGGGGACGAUCCGUAGCUGGUCUGAGAGGAUGAUCAGCCACACUGGAACUGAGACACGGUCCAGACUCCUACGAGAGGCAGCAGUGGGGAAUAGUGGACAAUGGGCGCAAGCCUGAUCCAGCCAUACCGCGUGGGUGAAGAAGGCCUUCGGGUUGUAAAGCCCUUUUGUUGGGAAAGAAAAGCAGCAGGUUAAUACCCCGCUGUUCUGACGGUACCCAAAGAAUAAGCACCGGCUAACUUCGUG
rnacentral:rRNA from 1 species